AAACAAUCAUUCUCUCUAAAAAGAAAUGACUAGUUUAAAAUAGAAAAAAUUAAAAGGAAAAAUCACAAUAGUUAUCUCUCCUUUCACCUUGCCGAAGUCCGGCAGCCAUCAUUCUCUCUUUGUUUUUUCUUUUCUUCUAGUCAAUCCAUUACUGACCGCCAUAUCCUCCAACCAAAACAAAGCACACUAAUCCGAAACAUCUACAAAUCAAAUAUACUUUCCCUUCUCUCAUCAAGCGACUACCACCAUCACUAAUCAUCCACUGUUCAUCCUUUUCAUUGCCAUUUUCCAAACCCUCACGCUGUUAAAACACUCAACACAACCCAAAUCAAUGUCCUCUUUCUAACCGAGCCAGUUCAACCCACCCUUGAACCUUUCUUGAACCGACCUCCACCUGAAUCACACCACCAGGUCAUUGUGGACCUGAAUCAUGCACAUCACCAACGAUAUUAGUAAAAACCUAACACAUAAAAAAACUUGUUUGAAAUGGAAGUAGAAAAAGGGCUUAAACCUCUGAUCAUAUUGGGAAAAGUGUGAAUCACUGUUAGUGGUAACCAGUGGAAAGGGAUUGAAAGCUUAAAUUUCUAGCAAUUGUUUGCAGGUUUGGUGCCCGCGUCCCACAUUCACCGCCGUCCCACAUGCGGCAAACAUGCCAGCGCGUCCAGCACAUAUGCCACCACUAUGUACCAGUUCCUGUUCCAGCAGUGUUCCAGGUCCUCUCCAGGCAUUCCUUUUCGUCUCAAAUCUUACCACUCGGAUGCCACAUUGGAGCAUUCUUUAUCUCUUGAUUAUUUACCAGGAAUACUGAAUACAUAAAGAAGUAACUCCAUGAGCCAGAUGCUACCUUUUUAAUUAUUGAUCUGAAGGCUUCUGUAUAGAAAGCGUUUUGCUGCAAACUUUUCUAACUGUUAUAAAGGUUCUGUAUAGAAAGGUUCCUCCAAACUAAUUGUGAGAGGAAAAUAUCAUAUGCUUGCAACAGUAAGGAUCUUGAACACAGUGAUGGUCAAAUAGCCUAAGCUAUUAGGUUAUGGGGCCAUCCUUAUAUAGAAACACUGAAGCUUCUUCUUCUUCUUCUUCUUCAUUUUAUCUUUAAUUCAGAGUAAAUAUUAAAGUUUUAUGUGCUGGUCUAGUCGUCGGCUUUGAAAACAGACCUCCCAUCUAAAUUACACUACAGGACCAAGAGGGAUAGAGCAACAGCUGGGCAUAAGAGAAAGAAAGAAAAAAUAGAAUCACACGCUUGGGACAUCAACAUUCGACAUCAACAUUUGAACCUAGAAGGAAGUUAUGUACAUGCUUGUAACAGAAGCAGCAGUAGGUUCUACACAGAUUCAAUGCAUUGGAGUGAGAAAACUUAUAAUAUUAACUGCAAUGUCAAAGGGGUGCGUCAGAAUCAGCCGCCCCAGGAAUAUUUUAGAGCCUAGUAUGCUUAAUCAAUUUAACUCUUUUGCUUCUUUCGUACGUA